rnacentral:lncRNA from 1 species
UCUAGCACUCAUCAGCAAGUGCCUCCCAACACCUUUCAGCAGGUGUGCUUCCCUGUAUCCUUCAGUAGAUACCUAAAUCUUCUAGCAUCCCUCAGUAGAUGCUAUCCCAGUAACAUUCAUCAGUAAACGCCGUUAGUGACAUCCAUCAGUAAAUGUCUACCCAUAUAGCAUCCAUCAAUAGAUGUUAAUUUUUCUUAUCUUCAUUGGCAUCCAUCAGUAGACACCAAAUCACCUAACAUCCAUCAGUAGAUGUUAUAGAACCAUCCAUCAGUAGAUGCUAUCAUUCCUGCCAUCAGAAGCAGCGCAUAACCCAAAA